rnacentral:rRNA from 1 species
ACACGCGUACAUGCCACCGGGGCAUCCCGGAGGCAGGAAAAGCUUCGGCCGGACAGGGAUGGGCAUGCGGCGCAUUAGGCAGUAGGCGGGGUAACGGCCCACCUAACCGACGAUGCGUAGGGGUUCUGAGAGGAAGGUCCCCCACACUGGUACUGAGACACGGACCAGACUCCUACGGGAGGCAGCAGUGAGGAAUAUUGGUCAAUGGUCGGGAGACUGAACCAGCCAAGCCGCGUGAGGGAUGAAGGUACAGAGUAUCGUAAACCUCUUUUGUCAGGGAACAAAGGCGGGGACGUGUCCCCGGAUGAGUGUACCUGAAGAAAAAGCAUCGGCUAACUCCGUGCCAGCAGCCGCGGUAAUACGGAGGAUGCGAGCGUUAUCCGGAUUUAUUGGGUUUAAAGGGUGCGCAGGCGGUCUGUUAAGUCAGCGGUCAAAGCCCGGGGCUCAACCCCGGCCCGCCGUUGAAACUGGCAGUCUCGAGUUGGAGAGAAGUAUGCGGAAUGCGCGGUGUAGCGGUGAAAUGCAUAGAUAUCGCGCAGAACUCCGAUUGCGAAGGCAGCAUGCCGGCUCCACACUGACGCUGAGGCACGAAAGCGUGGGUAUCGAACAGGAUUAGAUACCCUGGUAGUCCACGCAGUAAACGAU